rnacentral:rRNA from 1 species
AUUGAACGCUGGCGGCAUGCUUUACACAUGCAAGUCGAACGAGUGGCGGACGGGUGAGUAAUGUAUGGGGAACUGCCCGAUGGAGGGGGAUAACUACUGGAAACGGUAGCUAAUACCGCAUACUAUCGGAUGAACCCAUAUGGGAUUAGCUAGUAGGUGGGGUAAAGGCUCACCUAGGCGACGAUCCCUAGCUGGUCUGAGAGGAUGACCAGCCACACUGGGACUGAGACACGGCCCAGACUCCUACGGGAGGCAGCAGUGGGGAAUAUUGCACAAUGGGCGCAAGCCUGAUCCAGCCAUGCCGCGUGUAUGAAGAAGGCCUUCGGGUUGUAAAGUACUUUUGGCAGAGAAGCGGUAUCUGCAGAAUAAGCACCGGCUAACUACGUGCCAGCAGCCGCGGUAAUUC